rnacentral:rRNA from 1 species
GUGCCAGCGCCGCGGUAAUACGUAGAGAGCAAGCGUUGUCCGGAAUCAUUGGGCGUAAAGGGUACGCAGGCGGUCUAUUAAGUCAGAGGUGAAAUCCAACAGCUCAACUGUUGAACUGCCUUUGAUACUGGUAGACUUGAGGAUAAGAGAAGAAAACGGAAUUCCUAGUGUAGCGGUGAAAUGCGUAGAUAUUAGGAAGAAUACCAAUGGUGAAAGCAGUUUUCUAACUUACUCCUGACGCUCAGGUACGAAAGCUAGGGUAGCAAACGGGAUUAGAUACCCUUGUAGUCC